GUGAUUGUGCGCAUUAUUCAUUUAUAUUUGAUAUGAAGGUUAUCCAUGGAAAAACCCUGAAUGUCAUUUGUGUAGUCCACACUCAUGUAUUUUUCAUUAGAUGAAUCAAAUAGAACUGUAGCUUGGUCAGAUUGCCUAGCUACUCCUACUGUGUAAGAUGUCUAACAUUGGCUCAAAAUUCCUUGAGGUAUCAAGAUUUAUUUCAAGGCUUCAUGUGCCUAAAGAAGCUACAUUCAUAUAUUAACACUUUCAGCCCUUGCCAAUUUCAGUGAAUCAUUGGAGUGAACAUUCAUAAAAAUCUCUGCUUUUCUAACAUUUGUUCUCUUUUGAAGAAUCAUGAGUGCAACAUGUCACUCUUUUUUUUCUUGAAUUUUGUUGCUUUAAGGUGUUUUGUAAUAUUUGUUUUCUUCAAUCCUUACAAAAUUGACGUUCUCUUAUGGCUGUCUGCAUGGUUGUCCAUGUUUUUGUAUUCAAUCCACUCUAUCUUGUGUCUCGUUGCAGAGAUUGCUGAUUUUUUUAUCUAGUUGCAUGCUUACAGGGGCCUAGUUGGUUAUAGAAGUGUGUUUAGCAGUGAUACACAUGGCACUGGAUUUAUGCAUCGCACUUUCUUGAGUGGUGGCAUCUGGAGUAGAUGAACGUACCCUCAAGCGUGAAGGUGUUUGUGCUGCAUCAUUACCAACUACCAUGCUGUUGUUAGUUGGAGGGAGUCGGAAUGAAGAAUCAGAAUUUCUUCAUUUUUUUGGAUGCUUCUAUUGAUUAGUCGGAGGUCUUCAACAAGGUUGCUUCUUCUGUUUGCAUUUUGCUAACCAAAGAUGAGCUUGUAAUCACCAUGCAUGGAUGCACUGCUGCUAUAUGUGAUAAAGUGAUGCAGUCAGCAGAAGGUGCAAUUCAGGCUGUCAUUGAGUUCAUUACAAGAAGAGGCAAUGAGUUGAAUGAAACUGAUGUUUCAAGGUAGGACUUGAGGGGAGUGCUAAUGGACAAUGGUGGUUGGAUGCUAUCAGGAAGGCCCUCGAAUAAGGAACGACAUUUGAACAUGUAGGAUCUAGGCAGUUGGCUGGUUUGCUUAUAUCCGCAGGGUAAGUAAUUAUUCAUUGAUUGGGACAUCAGAACAUGAUAAUUUCCUUUUCAGCAUCUACAUUUGACGAACGCCUCAUAUAGAAUCUUCGACCAUUUAUUGGGGAUGUUGAUGCUGCUGCAUAACCAUAGCCUCAUGCACAAACAAGACAGGUAACUUAUGCAUGUUGGCCCAGCUGCAUGGGGCUAAUGAUGAUGCUCUUUGUCAAACUUUAAAAACUUUAAAAUUCACAUAAAACUGAUAUAAACUCAUUUCC